AUUCCAGCUCCAAUAGCGUAUAUUAAAGUUGUUGCAGUUAAAAAGCUCGUAGUUGGAUUUCUGGGAGGGUGCCAAUGUCCGCCGACGUGCGUGCGCAGCGGCGCCCUUCCAUCCUUCUGUUAACGCCUCUUGGCAUUCAUUUGCUGGUGGCGGGCUCAGAUAUUUUACCUUGAGAAAAUUAGAGUGUUUCAGGCAGGCUAGGCCGGAAUACAUUAGCAUGGAAUAAUGGAAUAGGACUACGGUCUCUUUGUUGGUUUGAGGGACUGCAGUAAUGAUUAAUAGGGAUAGUUGGGGGCAUUAGUAUUUAAUUGUCAGAGGUGAAAUUCUCAGAUUUGUUAAAGACUAACUUAUGCGAAAGCAUUUGCCAAGGAUGUUUUCAUUA
rnacentral:rRNA from 1 species